rnacentral:rRNA from 1 species
UACAGAGGUCUCAAGCGUUGUUCGGAUUCAUUGGGCGUAAAGGGUGCGUAGGCGGGUCUUUAAGUCAGGGGGGAAAUCCUGGAGCUCAACUCCAGAACUGCCUUUGAUACUGAGGAUCUUGAGUUCGGGAGAGGUGAGUGGAACUGCGAGUGUAGAGGUGAAAUUCGUAGAUAUUCGCAAGAACACCAGUGGCGAAGGCGGCUCACUGGCCCGAUACUGACGCUGAGGCACGAAAGCGUGGGGAGCAAACAGG